AUGCUCAAAAUUCUCCAAGCCAGACUUCAGCAAUACCUGAACCGUGAACUCCCUGAUGUUCAAGCUGGUUUUAGAAAAGGCAGAGGAACCAGAGAUCAAACUGCCAACAUCUGCUGGAUCAUGGAAAAAGCAAGAGAGUUCCAGAAAAACAUCUAUUUCUGCUUUAUUGACUAUGCCAAAGCCUUUGACUGUGUGGAUCACAAUAAACUGUGGAAAAUUCUGAAAGAGAUGGGAAUACCAGACCACCUGACCUGCCUCUUCAGAAAUCUGUAUGCAGGUCAGGAAGCAACAGUUAGACCUGGACAUGGAACAACAGACUGGUUCCAAAUAGGAAAAGGAGUACGUCAAGGCUAUAUAUUGUCACCCUGCUUAUUUAACUUAUACGCAGAGUACAUCAUGAGAAAGACUGGACUGGAAGAAACACAAGCUGGAAUCAAGAUUGCCGGGAGAAAUAUCAAUAACCUCAGAUAUGCAGAUGACACCGACACCACCCUUAUGGCAGAAAGUGAAGAGGAACUAAAAAGCCUCUUGAUGAAAGUGAAAGAGGAGAGUGAAAAAGUUGGCUUAAAGCUCAACAUUCAGAAAACUAAGAUCGUGUUAUCUGGUCCCAUCACUUCAUGGGAAGUAGAUGGGGAAACAGUGGAAACAGUGUCAGACUUUAUUUUUGGGGGCUCCAGAAUCACUGCAGAUGUUGACUGCAGCCAUGAAAUUAAAAGAUGCUUACUCCCUGGAAGGAAAGUUAUGACCAACUUAGAUAGCAUAUUCAAAAGCAGAGACAUUACUUUGCCGACUAAGGUCCAUCUAGUCGAGGCUAUGGUUUUUCCUGUGGUCAUGUAUGGAUGUGAGAGUUGGACUGUGAAGAAGGCUGAGUGCCGAAGUAUUGAUGCUUUUGAACUGUGGUGUUGGAGAAGACUCUUGAGAGUCCCUUGGACUGCAAGGAGAUCCAACCAGUCCAUUCUGAAGGAGAUCAGCCCUGGGAUUUCUUUGGAAGGAAUGAUGCUAAAGCUGAAACUCCAGUACUUUGGCCAACUCAUGCGAAGAGUUGACUCUUUGGAAAAGACUAUGAUGCUGGGAGGGAUUGGGGGCAGGAGGAGAAGGGGCCGACAGAGGAUGAGACGGGUCGAUGACAUUACGGAAUCGAUGGACGUGAGUCUGAGUGAACUCCGGGAGUUGGUGAUGGACAGGGAGGCCUGGCGUGCUGCAAUUCAUGUGAUUGUAAAGAUUCAGACACGACUGAGCGACUGA
rnacentral:lncRNA from 1 species